CGUUGGGCAUAUCUCCCGACUUUCUCCUAAGCAGUAGGCCGCAGGUUCGAUUCCUGCCGGGCGCACCA
rnacentral:tRNA from 1 species